AUUGAACGCUGGCGGCAGGCCUAACACAUGCAAGUCGAGCGGAUGAAGGGAGCUUGCUCCUGGAUUCAGCGGCGGACGGGUGAGUAAUGCCUAGGAAUCUGCCUGGUAGUGGGGGAUAACGUCCGGAAACGGGCGCUAAUACCGCAUACGUCCUGAGGGAGAAAGUGGGGGAUCUUCGGACCUCUCGCUAUCUCAUGAUCCUAUGUCGGAUUAGCUAGUUGGUGGGGUAAAGGCCUACCAAGGCGACGAUCCGUAACUGGUCUGAGAGGAUGAUCAGUCACACUGGAACUGAGACACGGACCAGACUCCUACGGGAGGGAGCAGAGGGGAAUAUUGGACAAUGGGAGAAAGCCUGAUCCAGCCAUGCCGAGUGUGAGAAGAAGGUCUUCGGAUUGUAAAGCAAUUUAAGUUGGGAGGAAGGGCAGUAAGUUAAUACCUUGCUGUAUUGACGUUACCAACAGAAUAAGCACCGGCUAACUUCGUG
rnacentral:rRNA from 1 species